GGCUUUCUCAUUACUAGAAACCAUCCAAGUUAACUAGGCCAUACAAUUACAAUGUCAUUGCUACUACCACCUAUGAAGCAGUAUAGUUUAUUUAAUAAAACAAAACCUAAGACCUCUAAGUUAUUAGCCCUGAAGGAGAAGCAGUAAGUCGGGAGGACUUGUCUACUGAAGGACAAAAACAAACUCCCAAAUCAAUGGAGAGACAUAUUUUGUUAGAAUUAUAAAUAUGUGACUUCUCUCCUUAAUAUCUGUCAAUUCAAUGCCACCUUAGUCAAAAUCCCAGAAGGAUUAUUAUUAUUAUUAUUAUUAUUAUUAUUAUUAUUAUUAUUAUUAUUUUGAGAUGGAGUUUUGCUCUCUUGCCCAGGCUGGAGUGCAGUGGCACGAUCUUGGCUCACUGCAACCUCCGACUCCUGGUUUCAAGCGAUUCUCCUGCCUCAGCCUCCCCAGUAGCUGGGAUUAUAGGUGCAACACGCCCGGCUAAUUUUUGUAUUUUUAGUAGAGACAGUGUUUCACCACGUUGGCCAGGCUGGUCUCGAAAUCCUGACCUCGUGAUUCGCCUGCCUCGGCCUCCCAAAGUGCUGGGAUUACAGGCAUGAGCCACUGCACCUGGCCAGGAUUUUUUUUUUUAACUUGGCAAAAUGAUUAUAAAAUUUAUCAGAAGCACCUGAAGUCCCAGCUACUCAGGAGGCCAAGGUGGAAGGAUUGCUGGAGGCCAAGAGUUCAAGACUAUCCUGGGCAACAUAGCAAGACUCUGUCUCAAAAAAAGGAAAAUUGAAAUAAAAAAUAAAAUUUAUCAGAAGGAAUCAAGAUGUAAAAACAGCUAAGAAAAUACCAAAGAAGAGGAGUAAGGAGCCCUGGCAGACAUUAAAAUGAAUAAUGUAGCUAAUUAAAAUUGAACAUUUUACCCAUAAAAAUUAAACCUAAAAAUAAAUUGGACAUUUACUAAUAGAGAAAUAGGCAGAAGGAUGUAAUAGGACACAGAAUCUGUAUGUAUAUAAAAAUGUGUAUGAUAAACGUUGGAUUUCUGCCGGGCGCAGUGGCUCACACCCGUAAUCCCAGCACUUUGGGAGGCCAAGGUGGGUGGAUCACCUGAGGUCAGGAGUUCGAAACCAGCUAACAUGGGGAAACCCCAUCUCUACUAAAAAUACUAAAAAUUAGCUGGGCAUGGUGACACAAGCCUGUAAUCUCAGCCUCCUCAGUAGCUGGGAUUACAGGUGCGUGAUACCACACUUGGUUAAUUUUUGUAUUUUUUAGUAGAGAUGGGGUCUCACCAUGUUGGCCAAGCUGGUCUGGAACUCCCGACUUCAAAUGAUCCACCCGCCUUCGCCUCCCAAAGUGCUGAGGUUACAGGCAUGAGCCAUUGCACCCGGCCUUAUGCACAAAAUUUAAGGGCUCUCUAUUUACACAAAAAUAAAUUUCAAAUUGAUUAGAGAUUUAAAUGUAAAAGACAAGAUCCUUUAAAAACUAAAACUGGGCAUAGAUUAUUAUAUGUGCAGUAGAGGUGAGGAAAGUCUUUCUAAAGAAGACUUAAAAACCAGAAGUCAAAAGGAAAAGCAAUUAAUACAUUUGAUCAUAUAAAAUUUAAAUUUAAAAAGAUUAUAGGCUGGGCAUGGUGGCUCACACCUGUAGUCCCAGCACUUUGGGAGGCUACGGUGGGAGGAUCAUCUGAGGCUAGUUCGAGACCAGUCUGGCCAACAUGGUGAAACCCAGUCUUUACUAAAAAUACAAAAAUUAGCUGGACACAGUGGCAUGUGCCUGUAGUCUCAGCUACUCAGGAGGCUGAGGCAGGAGAUUCACUUGAACCCUGGAGGCGGAGCUUGCAGUGAGCCAAGAUUGCACCACUUCACUCCAGCCUGGGCGACAGAGCGAGACUCUGUCUAAAAAAAAAAAAAAAAAAUUAUAAAGUCAAAAGGAAAAUAAUAGUAAAAUAUUUGUAGUAUACAUGAUAGGAUAAGGAUAAAUAUUCUUACUAUAAAAAGAGCUCUUACAAAUCAAUAAGAUGAAAUUUCUCAAUAAGAAAACGGGUAGGCUGGGUGCAGUGGCUCACACCCGUAAUCCCAGCACUUUGGGAGGCUGAGGUGGGUGGAUCACCUGAGGUCAGGAGUUCGAAACCAGCUAACAUGGGGAAAACCCAUCUCUACUAAAAAUACUAAAAAUUAGCUGGGCAUGGUAGCACAAGCCUGUAAUCCCAGCUACUUGGGAGACUGAGGCAGGAGAACUGCUUGAACCCAGGAGGCGGAGGUUGCAAUGAGCUGAGAUUAUGCCACUGUACUCCAGCCUGGGCAACAGAAAAAGACUCCUUCUCAAAAAGAGAAAGAAAAGAAAAUGGGUAAAGAACGUGAAUAGGCAAUUUGCAGAAGAAAAAAUUCAAGUGGUCAAUAAACAUAGGAACUAAUGUUCAAUUUUAUUAUUAAAUAAAUAUGAAUUAAUACUAGACAAAGGAGGAAAUAUCUUUUUUAAACUCUAAGAAGAAACAAAAUGAUAAACAUCUGAGAUAUCUAGUCUAAAAAAAGGUUGGUACAACUUCAGAGACACUUUAUCUGGGUUCCUUGCUUUUUCUCUCUGCUUCUUACUCCCCAUAAACCUACUUCUCCCCAC
rnacentral:lncRNA from 10 species